UUCCUCCCUAGAGUAUAAUCAUAAGAAUAUAACCUGUUAAAAUGUCAGUUUAGACCACACCAGCUUAAUCUUAUCCACUAACUUCUUCAGCCCAGGCCUCUUGCCCAGCUCUGCCCACCAUCCUGCGGGUCUCCCACCGGCACUGGCCUGUCCAGGCGCCUCCACCCCGUCCCCGGCACCAGAGGUGUCCAACAGCCCUAGCGACACCGCUGUGCCCCACACACCGCUUUCUGAACACCCGUCCCAUGCCUUUACGCACAGUUUAGCUGAUGCAUUACAGCCUAUUUCCUCAUCUCUUCAGAGAGGCAAUUAAACUUUGUCACGGCAUUAACCAAGCUGAUGACCGCCUGUUUGGCGAGGCCCGGCCGCCGGCGGGCACACCGUAGGCCCUGUUCCCUAGGGAGGCGGGGGACCGGCCCCAAACACAGGGGGGCAGCCUCCUCGGGCUCCCCGCAGCUCGCCGGGCGCCGGCCCCCCUCCGCCGGGGAGCAGCGGCGGGCGCAGCCCGGCCCCCGGCCCGGCCCCGCCCCGCCGCAGCCCCUCGGGCGGGCGCGGAGGAAGAUGGCCGGGCAAGGCGGCAGCGGAGCCGAGGCGCGGAGCGGCGGAGGCCGCGGCGUUGUGGGCUCCCACCGAAAUGCUCAGAGGCCUUUGGGGAUCCGGGGGGGCUGCACAAGCUCGCCGUUGGGCUGCCCCUUGUUUUUCUGCCGUGGGAAAAAGCCCAAACUUCGGCAGUGUGUUUUGAGUACUGAAGAGGUUACGCAAAAAUGAACGAAUAUGCUCCUUAUUCUGAGGGACAAACCAGAUUUUCCUGUGGAGCAGAUACCCUCGCUGCCACCCCCUCAGAUUUCAGACAAUUGGCCUGGAUACAGUCUGGAUUUGUUCACUUAUCCUCAGCACUACUAUGGAGAUCUGGAAUACGUGCUCAUACCUCAUGGCAUUAUUGUUGACAGGACAGAACGAUUGGCCAAAGAUAUUAUGCAAGACAUUGGAGACAAUGAUAUUGUGGUUCUCUGUGUCCUCAAAGGUGGCUACAAGUUCUGUGCUGACCUUGUGGAGCACAUUAAAAAUCUCAGCAGAAAUUCAGAAAGGUUCAUCUCCAUGAAAGUUGAUUUUGUUAGACUGAAAAGCUACCACAAUGAUCAGUCUAUGCAAGAUAUGCAGAUAAUGGGAGGAGAUGAUCUUUCAAAGCUGACUGGGAAGAAUGUUCUAAUUGUGGAGGAUAUUGUUGGAACUGGGAGGACUAUGAAGGUUCUGCUUAAUAAUAUAGAAAAAUGCAAGCCAAAAAUGAUUAAAGUGGCAAGUUUGUUGGUGAAAAGAACAUCUCGGCCUGAUGGGUACAGACCAGAUUGUAAGUGUUACUGUGAAAAUCUGUACAUGACAGUACAAGAAGUUACCAUUACUCUACCACUUGCCUUUCAUAUCAUUCUACGGACUGCCAGAAGCAUUGUAAAAUAUCAAUUGUCAAUGGGACAAUGGAAUGCAAUGGAAGGGCAUGUAUAAUGGUGGCUUGCAAAGCCUAACUUCCUUGUAGUCUGAUGUUUUCUGCAGAGUGCUAACUUUAUAGGGAAGUUAUGAAAAGGUUUCAUUUUAUUCAUGAAAGGUGUUUAUCUUCAGUUCUGACAAACUAUAUAGAAGAGAAAGUCCAUUUCUUCCUUUUCUUUCCUCAUUGCAUCUCUGUGGAGGAGCUGCAGGAUUCCAUCUGAACAUGAAAGGUGUUUUAUUGUGGCCUAGUUAUUCACAGGUUUUACAUUUUUGUAACAGAAUAACACUUUUUAUUAUUUUUUGAAAAGUAUUAUUGUUUAAAGGGUGAACAGUAAUAUUAUAAUUAAAUCCCACCCCCCAAAAAAGCAAAAGAUAAAUUGGGCUUUUUAAACUUCCUCCCGUUGCUCUGUUGGUGUCACACCAGCACCACUUCGCUCUGAAUUAUUGGUACCUGUGCUAUGAUGAAGCUGUAAAUGGAGCUAUACCAACCUAUUGUCAUUUUAGACUUGUUAGAAUAAAUGAUGUAAUAACAGGUAUGUGGCUAAAUAGUGAAAAGAAUAGAUCCAUCUAGAAGAGAUCGACCAGUAUUUGCUACUGAAGAAGGCUCUGGUCAGCUGAGCUGGGGAGGAGGGUAGAAGGAGAGUAGGCAGGUGAGUACCAGGAGGCAGCAUGAAGGGUCUUGAUUUGGGAUGUGGGAGAGAGGGAAACUUUAUGAAGCAAAAGUCACUCCACAUUGGGCACGGCCCCGCGGUUUUAGCCCAAUAAUCUGAACUGUGACCCAAACAUUUUGUUGUGCAACUUUUUACACAGUGGUAUUUUUAACCUUUAGAAUUUAAUCCAGUAAAUUAUAUAUUCAACUGGAUUCACUAAUGUUAAACAUAUCAAAAAUACAACAAAAUUACUUCAUGAAGGGUAGCGUAGUAUUUUUAUGUUGUAAAAUGAAACAGGUUUUAUCCUUGUUUAUUCAUACUGUGAUUCAUUUUAUAAAACAUCAGAGAUCACUCUUGUAAAAAUCAGACAGUGCUGUAUCAUUUGCUCACUUGCCCGAAUUUAUGAUUCCAAAGUGUCUAUUAUCCACAAUUUUUAACAACUGAAUAAAUUCCUUACUUGAAUACCUGUAAAAAUUUUUAUGCUGACCUAUUUUUGCAUCCAUAAGGUUGUGCUUGUCUCUAGAUACCUAGUGAACAAUUUGGAAAGAGUCUAACUUGUUUUAUGUAGUGCUGAUACCGCACAAACCUUCACACUCAAAAAAGAUACGUGCCUAUGCUCAGCUUGAAGUUUGUGAGUUGUGGGAUUCAGCUACUCUGCAUGCAUUUACUUUAUUAAGCAUGUGCAUGAGCCUUCGUAAGGUUGGGGCUUUAAUUUAAGAAGCAUUUGACGUGUUUUGGUCGCAUACUAUGCAAAAGAGUUUUUUCUCUUCUCAGAAGAAAAUAUAUAAAUCUCCGAAAGUUACUUCAGAAUGAAAGUUGUACUUUUUUUUUUUUGUAAAUCGUUAAUGUGAUACUGGACAGUUGUCAUCACACGUGUGCCAAUGGAGUUUCCAACUGUAGGCAGAAUUUUUUAGCUCUGAUUUUGGCUUCCUUCCGCAACAUAUCUGUUGUGCCACUGAUAACGUACAGAACUCUCCUACACUGACUGCUCACAUCCCUGUCACAAAUAGUCUGUGAGUGGGAACUGGGUAUAGGGCCACUGCUGACCUUCAUGUCUCAAAGUCAAAAGUAGCAUGACCUCAAGUGAUUACGUAUAUCUACAGUUUGCUUGUCAGAGAACCAACAUAUGAAUUUAAGGGCUAUAUAAUUGCCACUGAUCUUGUAUUGAUGGUGUUUGUUAUUUGUCUCAAUACAGAUUAUGGAUUUGAAAUUCCAGAUUUAUUUGUGGUAGGUUAUGCCUUAGACUACAACGAGCACUUCAGAGAUCUAAAUCACAUAUGUGUUAUCAAUGAUCAUGGCAAAGCAAAAUACAGAGUCUGAAGCAGUAACAUCCUCACCUGAAGA